UACGUAGGGUGCAAGCGUGUCCGGAAUUUAUUGGGCGUAAAGAGCUCGUAGGCGGUUUGUUGCGUCGGCUGUGAAAUCCCGAGGCUCAACCUCGGGUCUGCAGUCGAUACGAGCAAACUAGAGUGUUGCAGGGGAGACUGGAAUUCCUGGUGUAGCGGUGAAAUGCGCAGAUAUCAGGAGGAACACCGGUGGCGAAGGCGGGUCUCUGGGCCGUAACUGACGCUGGAGGAAGCGAAAGCGUGGGGGAGCGAACAG
rnacentral:rRNA from 1 species